rnacentral:lncRNA from 1 species
CUUAGGCUGGAUGUGACCCAAGGCCACAGUUUGCUGAGCCCUCAGGACAGUUUGCUGAGCUCUGAGUCCGAAAGAAUUGCAAAGCAGUUUUCCGGAUGAAGGAUGUCGACUUCCACCCCCAUCCCUGUUAUGUGACUCGUACAAAAGAAUCUAGAGAUCGAAGUUGAAAGAAAGGUCUGUUCUGAUCAUCACACAACUCUAAUUUCCAUAAAGAAUUAUUCACCUAGUUAGAUGCCACUGCCUCCAAGAAGCCUCGCCCAUCACAAAGCUACAAGCAAUCUCUCUUGACUCUGACCCUCCACAGGAAUUCUGCAUCUCACCAAUAUGCCAUAUUCAGGCUUGCCUUAUGCUUCGACAGGCAUGUGCCUCAUCCUCACCACCUCGUCUGCAUCCUUGAGAGCAGGAUCCAGGUCCCGCUCAUCUUUACAGUGUCCACAGUGUCCAGAACAGUGCCUCUCAUGAAGCAGGGGCUGGCCAAAUGCAUCAUGCAUGAACAAAGCAGCUCCUUCCUCUGACUCUGGGACUCAAGGAACUGGAAUAAGCACAGAUAUUUAGCAUUAUAAGCCAUGAUGUUAUUGCACGGGACUGCCUCUCUCGUUAAGAUUAGAAGAACACAAAAGACCUUAGCUUCCUUCAUAAUAAAAAUUCAGACAAAAUCAGCAGCAGACUUUUCCACGGGGCUCAUGAAGAGCAGCAGAAACAAGGAAGGCUUGAUGAACUGAAUGCCAAAGAGAAACGAUGUCAUUGCAAAUAGGAAGACAGAAUGCCAUUUGCAAAAUGAUCCUGAAUUAGCAUCUUGCUUGUCCACAAUGGAGUCCUGCAUUUAGAACACUGCUGGGCUCUGAAGUCAGCUAGAAGACACAAGGGAAGCCACAGCGAGUUGACU